AGCGGCGGACGGGUGAGUAACGCGUGGGUAACCUGCCUCAUACAGGGGGAUAACAGUUAGAAAUGACUGCUAAUACCGCAUAAGACCACAGCACCGCAUGGUGCGGGGGUAAAAACUCCGGUGGUAUGAGAUGGACCCGCGUCUGAUUAGCUAGUUGGUGGGGUAACGGCCUACCAAGGCGACGAUCAGUAGCCGACCUGAGAGGGUGACCGGCCACAUUGGGACUGAGACACGGCCCAA
rnacentral:rRNA from 1 species